GUUUGUUCAUUCUUUCUUUCUCUCUCUCUCUCUCUCUCUCUCUCUCACACACACACACACACAGAGAGAGAGAGAGAGAGAGAGAGAGAGAGAGAUGCUAUGUGAA
rnacentral:miRNA from 1 species